rnacentral:rRNA from 1 species
AAAGCGCAUGUGCUGUGAGCUCGAUGAGUAGGGCGGGACACGUGGUAUCCUGUCUGAAUAUGGGGGGACCAUCCUCCAAGGCUAAAUACUCCUGACUGACCGAUAGUGAACCAGUACCGUGAGGGAAAGGCGAAAAGAACCCCGGCGAGGGGAGUGAAAAAGAACCUGAAACCGUGUACGUACAAGCAGUGGGAGCACAGGUUUACCUG